CAGUAGCCGCGGGAAUACAGAGGGUGCAAGCGUUAAUCGGAAUUACUGGGCGUAAAGCGCGCGUAGGUGGUUUGUUAAGUUGAAUGUGAAAUCCCCGGGCUCAACCUGGGAACUGCAUCCAAAACUGGCAAGCUAGAGUAGGGCAGAGGGUGGUGGAAUUUCCUGUGUAGCGGUGAAAUGCGUAGAUAUAGGAAGGAACACCAGUGGCGAAGGCGACCACCUGGGCUCAUACUGACACUGAGGUGCGAAAGCGUGGGGAGCAAACAGGAUUAGAUACCCCAGUAGUCCCUGUCUCUUAUAA
rnacentral:rRNA from 1 species